rnacentral:tRNA from 1 species
UUGUUCCUGUAGGAACUCAUAAUCGCUUGGUCGCUGGUUCAAGUCCAGCAGGGGCCACCA